CAGAUGUUUGGCAAUCCUUGGAUGUCCAUUCAUAUUUACAAAUGAAGAACCAAAGAGCUUGCUGAUUAACUAGUGUGCAUGCCUCAGGUUGACUGGGCAGUCAGUCAGUCUAUAGUAGAGGACUUGCUUCCCCUACUCCCACACCAAUACCAGAACAUAAAGGUCUUUCAUCUGGGGACAAUAGAUUGCUCCAGAAGCCCCCCUGAUCUCCCCCUGGAGAGUAGACCCUGACCUCUUGGUGCUCUGUGCCUGGCGUUGGGGAGAGACUGUCCAAUGUCGAUUUUUAAUUAAUCCCCUGUUCUAAGCUCUGUGUCUUGCUGGUUCUGGCAAGACAGGCUGCCUUCUUCCUUGGCUGUAUCUUCCUCUCCGCACACUCUGUCCUAAGACUUUCUCUGCCCUCCUGCAUCAGUUACCACUCCUCCACCUGCUUUCUAUUGUUCUGUUGUAAUAGCUUGUCUACUGAGGUUACCUCACCCAUUAUCUUUAUUGUUGUGGUUUGCAUCCUUUGUAUUCCUUAAUAGUCAUUUUAUCAAUAGAAGUCUCUCAAGCAAAAGGGGCAUAAAACAAGAGUCAAUUUGUCAUCCUCAAGGACAUGUCAGCCCAAGCUCUUCCUUAUUAUCCCUCUAAUUACAGCACUGGCCCAGUUGUGAGGUCCUCCAAGUGUGUCUCCUGUGCACACUCUCUCCUCUCCUGGCCCCAGGCACCUCUUCCUCACCUAUCAAGGCUCUCUCCUCCUCAGGAAAGGACCGUAAACUCCUUUGCUCUGAGGGUGCCUGUCAGAGGGUGAGAACUUCAGAGAACACAGUCCCCAUUGGUUCAGACCUAACAAAUGAAGAGUGAAUGGUGGGAUCUCAGUUCUAGGGCUUAGUUUAGGGAAGUUCUACCUCAAGUGUGAGUGCGGGUCUUCUAUGCCUCGAGGCCCUAAAAUGCUCCCAUGUUACUCACUGGUGAUAAUAGUACAAAUGUGACUCCACCAGAGGACUGAGACGGCCCAACUGUGGCUGGAGAUCGACUGCUGCUUCUCUGCACUACAACCCCUGCCCCCGGGCCUGGACUUUGACAGAAAAUCCAACUCACUCUGGCUUAAGCCUUUAGAACAUUAUUUGCUUACUUAAGUCCAGAGACUGUGUGGUGGCUCAUAGGUAACAAGGACCAUGACCCUUUCCAUCUUCCACAUCAUCGUCCUCAGGGUGUAGGUAUGGUAGAUUACAUUUUCCAAAGAUGGAGGCAGCAAUAUCUCCCAUGCCACUUGCUCUUCUGCAAUGUGACCUUGCCAUGCCUCCAUUAAGAGGUGGAGUCAUGGAUAAAGGAGAUGUGGUAUAUAUAUAUACAAUGGAGUAUUAGUCAGCCAAAGAAGAGUGAAAUAAUGCCAUUUGCAGCAACAUGGAUGGACCUAGAGAUUAUCGUACUAAGCGAAGAAACCAGCAGCCAUGCUGGGGUCACCCAAGCCACAUGAAGGGGCCAUGUGCAGGUGUCCUGGUCAAGAGCCCUGGCUGAGCUCUCACUGGACAUCCAGCAUCAACCGUCAGCUAUGUGAGUGAGCCGUCUAGGACAUCCAGACCAGCCUCAAGUUACAAGAUGGCCUCCUCAGCUACGAGCAUCAUUGCAAACAACCACAUCUAAAAACAGAAGUAAGGAAGGGGAAGAACAAUCAGGUGGGAAAAUGACCCCAUGCUAAAGACGGAACCUUCACUGCUCCUUCCAGAAGCGAAGCUGCCUCGGUGGGAACAAGUUUAUUGAAAACUCCUUUAGAACUGUGAGAGCAGGAAGCUUGCCAACAGCCAGGUCCCCAACCUUGUGGAGAAAGUGGUCUGGAAAAGUGAUGCUGACAUGAAGAGGAUGUUUGAGUACUUGGUUCCAGACCUCACUAAAUCCAGUUACAUCCUUGCCAUGAACCAAUGGCUCCUGAUAAUACCUUCUCCCUUCCCUUUCGAAGCCUCAGUAUCCUUAUCUAUAAAAUAAUGGGGCUGCAUCCUUCCCCCUUUAUCUCUGA